ACACUCUUAAGAAAAAAGGUUCUUCAAAGGUUCUGAAACUAUGGUAAAGGUUCUAUAUAGAACCAUAGCUUACUGAAGAACCAUUUUUUGCUGAAAUGGUUCUUUGUCUUGGCAAAAGGGUUCUUUAUUUCCCUCCUUUUUUGAUUUUAAAUUUAGUCAGUUAUUAGUCCUGAUUAUUUUCACCUGUGAAAGCCCUGAAUCAUCAGUCCUGCUGAACCGCCUGCAGACUAACAUCACAAACAGGUAAGAGAGGAAGAUAAUCAUCAUUUACUGUUAAAAACAUUUUGAAAAUUGAAGUUUUGUGUGUUCUUAUUGUAAUUUAUUUAUUUUAUAACAGGUAAACUUUAUACUGAAAGCUUCAUUCCCUUUAAAGCAGAGUUUUUAUAUGUGAGGUAAUCUUGCUGGGAGUGAAGGCAGUGCAUGUGACCGCUUGAUAUGAGAGACACAUACUGUAUUUAAAGGUCAACUUUAUACUGUAAGCUUCAUUCCAUUUAUAACAGAGUUUUCAUAUGUGAGGGAAUCUUGCUUAUGCUGGAAGUGAAGGCAGUGCGUAUGACCGCUUGAUACAAGAGACACAUUCUAUUUUUAAAGGUCAACAUACUGUAAGCUUCAUUCACUUUAAAGCAGAGGUUUCAUAUGUGAGGUAAUCUUGCUUAUGCUGGGAGUGAAGAGUGUGUAUGACCACUUGAUAUGAAAGACACAUCCUGUUUUUAAAGGUGGAUCAUGAGUGAAGCUCUGCAGGUCUGCCAUUGGCUUGAUAACAGUGGUUAUGUGAAUUGAGUGAAUUCAAUUUAUAAAUAAAUCUUUCACCAAGCAUUCACCUAUUUACGGACAAAACAGAUCCAAAUCUUGUUCAGCUUGAUGCUCAACCUUGUAUGAUGAUGACCACAGCCAGGUGAUGGAGAUCUGUUUUAAUCACAGCCUGCAUCUCAAGAUCAACAUGACAACAGCAGAUCAUUUCUUUACUCUUAUGAUCCCGUAAAGAAAAUAAUAUGGACUUUUUUGGUGAGAUUCUACAAAGAUUGACACAAUCCUAUUGACUUUUAUUUUUACAGUUAAUAAUGCAUUAUAAACAUCCCAUUCAUUUUUAUUCUAUGUCAUCGAUCUGUUUGUGCUAAAAUGUAUACAUCUGAAUGUAAUGUCAAUAAUAUGUUAAUAUUCAGGAUUUAUUAUCAUUUGCAUGUUUUGAUGUUGCAUGUCAUGAUUUUAUUGAUUUUAUGUAAUUGUUGUCUAUUUAAAAUGAUUUUAAUUGCCAAAUUUUAUGGUUAAUUUAUUUAAUAUUGAAGCUGUUAUUUAACACCCAUAUCUUAUUUGAGUAGUAAUUUGUUAUAUUUGCAUAAUGAUAAUUUAUAUAUUU